UACGGAGGGUGCGAGCGUUGUCCGGAAUCACUGGGCGUAAAGGGCGCGUAGGCGGCUGGGGAAGUCGGCGGUGAAAGCCCGGAGCUCAACUCCGGGUCGGCCGUCGAGACUCCUCGGCUCGAGCUCACUAGAGACAGAUGGAAUUCCGGGUGUAGCGGUGGAAUGCGUAGAGAUCCGGAAGAACACCGGUGGCGAAGGCGGUCUGCUGGGGUGAGGCUGACGCUGAUGCGCGACAGCGUGGGGAGCAAACGGG
rnacentral:rRNA from 1 species